UCUAAGUUAUGGUGUGCUUA
rnacentral:snRNA from 1 species